CACGUAGGGCGCGAGCGUUGUCCGGAAUUAUUGGGCGUAAAGAGCGUGUAGGCGGUUUGGUAGGUCCGCUGUGAAAACUCGAGCUCAACCUCGAGACGCCGGUGGAAACCAUCAGACUAGAGUCCGGAAGAGGAGAGUGGAAUUCCUGGUGUAGCGGUGAAAUGCGCAGAUAUCAGGAGGAACACCAACAGCGAAGGCAGAUCUCUGGGACGUUACUGACGCUGAGACGCGAAAGCGUGGGGAGCAAACAGG
rnacentral:rRNA from 1 species